rnacentral:rRNA from 1 species
AUGGGCGCAAGCCUGAACCAGCCAUGCCGCGUGCAGGAUGACGGUCCUAUGGAUUGUAAACUGCUUUUGUACGAGAAGAAACACUGAUUCGUGAAUCAGCUUGACGGUAUCGUAAGAAUAAGGAUCGGCUAACUCCGUGCCAGCAGCCGCGGUAAUACGGAGGAUCCAAGCGUUAUCCGGAAUCAUUGGGUUUAAAGGGUCCGUAGGCGGUCUUGUAAGUCAGUGGUGAAAGCCCAUCGCUCAACGAUGGAACGGCCAUUGAUACUGCAGGACUUGAAUUAUUGGGAAGUAACUAGAAUAUGUAGUGUAGCGGUGAAAUGCUUAGAGAUUACAUGGAAUACCAAUUGCGAAGGCAGGUUACUACCAAUUGAUUGACGCUGAUGGACGAAAGCGUGGGUAGCGAACAGGAUUAGAUACCCUGGUAGUCCACGCCGUAAACGAUGGAUACUAGCUGUUGGGCGCAAGUUCAGUGGCUAAGCGAAAGUGAUAAGUAUCCCACCUGGG